UAACCUUUUAAAUGAAGUCCUGAGAGGCUUAUAAGGGUGUAGUACAAAGUUUUUACACCCUAAUCAUUUGGUCAGGGUGUUUUUUUU
rfam:Bacillus sp. MTM 116 46, whole genome shotgun sequence.